UGAUUUUCAGGUUUGGGCUUUUUUAUGACGGACAUCAUCUGGUAUAGUAAAGUUUUUUUCUCUGCUAUGCAUAAUAAUGAUUAACUCUCACUUCAUGAGCCAAGUAAAAGGUCGUAAUUCAAGGUAUUCAACUCAUAAAAUAAGAGCUGACUUCCUGAUAUGAGUACAAAAACAAAAUCGCCAACAGAAGAAAACAAGAAAACAAAUCGGCAAGUACCAUGAGGGGUUACAUGGAGUGACAGAGGACAGUUGUAUAUUUAUCACACAGUCUCAACCACAACAGGGACAUAGGGGGAUGGGGAUGAUCUGCAGUGGGGGUUUCUGCCCCGACCUGCCCGGACAGCCCCCAGCAGGACCCUGAACCAACACGAGGCUGUCAGCACCUCCAACUGUCCACAUCACAGCCAGGGCACUGCUGUCAGCACCCCACACACACACACACACACACUCACUCUCUCACACACACACACACACACACACCAAUGACAAAUGCACACACACUGAGAGCAACAGAUACCCCCUCAAAUUCCCACAAUCACACAAACACACACACACACACUGCACUGGCUUAGGUUUGUUUAGUCUGUUUGUGGCUGUCAGUCACUUUUCUACUCUCUGAACACACUGAUUCAGCUAAUAUAAUAUCAUUUUUAUCUCAUAUUUAACAGGUAGAAGCUGCAUCACAUUUGAAUAAGCAGAAUACAUCUUGCGAACAAAGCUACCCUUUUUCUUGCUCUACCCUAUAAUCCAAUUGUGAUCAUUUUAGGCUCCAAAAAGAAGAUGUCAUCAGCCAAAAUGCCCAAUUUGAGGUACUGAGCAGCCUGUGUCCAUUUCUCACACAGCCUGAAAUCUGCUGGUAUAUGUGCACUGACACGGUUACAAGGUGGGAAUCAAGCAAAGGUCGUUCGACUUCAGUUUGGAAAGUUUAACUUCUCCCAUAAAGUUUUUGGUCCUGAUCUCUUUUUUGUUCUCAGGAGAGCUCCUUCCUUUUUUAUCUUUCCAUUUGCCCUUUUUCAGACAAUAAUCACAAUGUCUUACUGUAACCUGAUCAGAUGCCGCUGUCUAGACAAAAUCUACAAAAUGACCCCACUUUGGCAAACAUGUCCUCAUUUUUCCGACCCAGUUUAUUCCAUCUGAGUCCUUCCUGUCACCUCAUCUCUCCUCAUACAUCCACCUCUCCAUAUUAAAGUGUGUGCCGUCAGUCUGCUCCUGCCAACCACAGAUGGAGCUGAAUACUGGAUGAAGAGAUGGAGCUGCGUCAUGGAGGCUGCAGGGUGAAGUUAGAUAGGGCCGGGUUUGAUCUCUUUGACCCCAUCUGUCAGGUUUCAGCGAUCCUGACUGCUGAUAAUCUAGGUUAUUACAUUCAAACAAAAUGGGUCGGUUUGUCUACCUGGAUGGAAUGAUAAGUUAAAAUACAAACACCUUAAAAGGGACAGACUUUUAAACUGCCGUGGAGGCUUGACAUCCUAAAUAAAUGGCCUCAGACAGGAAGAGUAAAUAGUUUCCCUGAGGAACACCAUUUCCUAAACAAUGAUGAGUACGUUUGAUUUAAGGGGACUUAACGCAACUUUGUAUGCCUGAAAGUAGACAAAAAAGAUGAUUUAAAGCUCUAAAGUCCAACAUCAGCAGGCCCAGAUUGGUUGGAAUAAUGACAGUGAAUGCUCGGGUGUACCUGGACCAAGGUGAACAGAUCAUAAUUUCUGAGUGUGUUUUAUAAAUUUAGUCUUUCUCUAUUUAAUCUUAGAAACUCAUUUUCAGGCUUUUUCUUCACUUAGAGAGGGCAGAUCAGUGGACGGAGCAGGAGCCAGAGAAUGACAUAUGGAAAAGGAGUCAAGGACUGAAGGCGAACCCGGGCAUAGGGCACAACCUCCAUACAUGGGGCAACCACAUGGACCGCCAGGCCAGUGGCAUCCCAACUAUGUAUGUUUAAUUCUGGAUGGUUUUCCAAUAAGACUAAAAAAAACUGCAGUCAGGAUUUUUGGUAUUAAUAAUCCUGACUCAACCUAACGUUCAGUCAUCCUACCAGAUGUUGGCUUCAGGGUCUCCUCACAAAUAUCCACAGUGUGCCUGCCUGUCAGUCAAGUCAGCUGUGCCUCUGAUUCUCCAGAGGCAGAGAAUAACUUCAGAUGAAUGAAUCACUCCCCUCACAGUGGGUGCUGUGGGAGCCCUGAGCUAUACAGACCAAAACUGAAUUUUGAACCAGAAAACACGUUUUCUUAAAGCUUGAAUCAGGCUGUUUCGGAUCAGUGUGUAUGUAUGUUUUCAGGUGCUUCUGCAGCCCGUCUCAAGUGUGCUCUCAGGUACCUGCACUUUUUAGCACUUACACAUCAGCUUUAUUACUCAAGAAUGGAGGUUGCAGCUUGAUUUGACUUCAUUUAUAUAAUCACACAGAUGAUUUCCGUAGAGACCUCAGAGCCUCACUGACCUUGAUCGUGUCUUUGUUUCAGGUGACAGUUGUAAGGAUUGGUAGAAGUGGACAUUUUGAAGGUUGUUGGUUAGAUUUUAACCCUAACUGCUCUGUGAGCAUGUGUGUACCUGAGCACACUAACAGCACAGGAACAGCUGACUUUGUCUCCAUUUGAGCUCAUAUUGAAGUGCUGAGGUAGUACCUCUGUUACUGUAUAAUCAGACUGUUUUUUUCUGGGUUAAAAGGUUAAACCCAGUCUUCCUCUGGUCUCAUAUCAGCAUUGGACUCUGUACAGCAAUAAACUCUCUGUUUUAUAGUUAAACUGAGCUCUGCUCUCAUCAUAGAAAUAAGCCGACAGCUUGUUAAAAACUCACAGCUCUCUCUCUCAGGGGAAAUAUCUUAUAUUAGUCAGAGAUUCAGUCUUCAUCAAACAGAGCUAUUGACUGUUUGCUAGAAUUCAGUCUGCUCUCCUCCACCCUAUCUUUAUCAGGCUUAUCAGCUAUCUCUUAUCAGCUGGCCUACAUGCAGGCCUGAACACCAGAGGACAAGAUGUGAGAGUGUGUGUGUGCGUGUGUUGCAGCAUGCUGACACUCAGAGUUACAGAGUGACUUAGUUCACAAAAAUGGAUGAAGAUCAGGUGAACAGGUUUUUUGAAAGUUCAUUCAGUGUUUCAGACAAACAGACAGACAGACAGCUGCCUGGCAUAUUGAAUCGUGAAAUCAUGUUAGCAGGAGUAUUGUCUUAUAACCUUGCCCCCCCCCCAGGCCAGAGAUGUUCCCCAUGGUGUGUUAUGGGUUAUGACUGCUUGGACCACAAACAGAUUCACUCAUCCAGAUUUUAUUCACUUUGCAGGGCAGCAGGGGAGAGGUCAUCAGGGGGGGUAGCUACAAUGAUGCCCAGGAAAAACACACGAAAAGUUGUACACUUUACACACACACACAGACACACACUGUAAAUGUGUCUGCGUCACAGACCUGAACCUGAAUCAGCUCACAGGGUUUAACUAUCUUACUAUCAUGGAGGUGGAGUCAUUCUUGUUAGAAUCAAGAGUUUAAUCAUCUGCACAACCUAACCCUAACUUGUUUAUCAUUCUUUGAGUCCUAGUAAAGUUGAUCAAGACAUUAUUCUCUGCUCCUUUUUGACCUUGUGGGUGUGCAAUAAAACACACCUGUGUGCUGUGCUUUGUUCAAAUGUCAUAUGGAUCAAACAUCAGAGGAGGAUUUGGACCCUGCACAAACAGGCUUUCAACAGCCUUUCUCAGUUUUAGUGUGUAUGUCUUUCAAUGCAAAUGAGCUCCUUUUCACCCCGUCCCUCUCUUAGCGAGUUGAAAGAGAGCUCAUUUGAAUUUAAAGAGACAUCCUCUCUGCUUACACUCGUGUGAGAACAACAACGAUGGACUUCCUUAAAGUUCAUUAGUCCUGAAGGUGAGGAUGGAGAUAAUAGCUGAGGGGGUUUAGGUAUUAUUACAAUGACUCUCCUUGUGACCAGCAGAUUGUUUGUUGUUAGAUAUAUGCAGAUUAAAAAAAGGACUGGGUAGGAUACCUAAGUGUUUGUGUCUGACGUAGAGCAAGGGAGCUAGUCCAGGCAAGCAGGCAACUCGAGCUGCACUGAUUUUACACUUGACAUGCAUCAUUGGAGAUUUCCCUGCUCUGCUAUUACCACUGCAGCCAAUGCUACUCUUAGAUUUUCAGCCCCACCACCACCACCAGCAUACACCUGUAGGCUCCAAC